UCCGGUUUAACACCGGCAGUCUUCCUAGAGUCCCCAACUUAAUGCUGGUAACUAAGAACAGGGGUUGCGCUCGUUGCCGGACUUAACCGAACAUUUCACAACACGAGCUGACGACAGCCAUGCAGCACCUGUCAUCCUGUGACCGAAGUCAAAACCGUAUCUCUACGGCGAUCAGGAGAUGUCAAGGCCAGGUAAGGUUUUUCGCGUUGCUUCGAAUUAAACCACAUACUCCACCGCUUGUGCGGGCCCCCGUCAAUUCCUUUGAGUUUUAGCCUUGCGACCGUACUCCCCAGGCGGGAUACUUAAUGUGUGAACUCCGGUACUCAGUGGGUUAAUCCACCGAACACCUAGUAUCCAUCGUUUACGGCGUGGACUAC
rnacentral:misc_RNA from 1 species